ACGGAUGAAACAACAGACUCGGCCAUUGGUAUUGCACUACUUAGACUACGAUCGGUGGAGAUUAUGACAGAGAAUGACUUUGAGAAUUCGCUUCUGAUGCGUUAACGAGCUCUGAACAUAUAGGCCUGUGAGUUGCGUAGAAGAGAGAAAAGGAAUAAGUACUUAGAAAGUUGCUUGCUGCAUUGACUAUACCCAAUCUAUAUCCGCCGAUACAAGUAAAUCGCCCGAAGAAGAAAAGAAUGAGGUAACGGGGAAGUUUACAGGCAUAUAUUCACGCCGCAGGUAUAAGAAAUGCUUUGUCCCUAUAGUCACAGACGCAAGAGAAUCAACCCCAACUGAAUGUGAUUAAAUUUCUCGGAAAGGGUUAUGAUGAUGCUUUCUUGUUUGAAGGACGAAUCGUGAAUCUGCUUGACCAGCAUUCCCGAAUACGAUGCUUUCUUGUUGAAGCGGUAUCUCGCAGCAAUUACUUGCAGCUCUCGAAAUCCCUAGAAGAUCUUCUUCUUCUUCAUCCUCCCCAAAUGCAGAAACCGCCGCCAUGGAUGAGGCUCCCACGAAAUGGAACAGUUACCUUCACGAAGCACCUCAAGCAGAAAGCGCAAGGUCUACCGCGACGGCUUCCUCUCUCUCCACUCCUCCACGGCCAAGGUUUUGUACACGACACAAGUAACUCAAAAGACCAAGAAAUACCAUAAUGGUCUUUUGCAGCUUGAAGUUCGCAGAUUCCUAGGGAGGCAGGUCACGCUGUAUGAUGCUAGUGUCAUGGACUGGACCCGCGACCUAGCAGGAAAGUCUUGGUGAAUAAAUUUCUCAGGAAAGAUGAAGUGUUGGGAACUGAAAAAUUGCUGGUAUUUGAUUCUCGCUUGGUUGAUAUGGGGGAGCAUGUAGUAAAAGAAAGGGUGCUGAUAGGUUUGAAUGAUCAUGAACCAUUUCUCGCUGCUGGAGAAAUGAAGACAGGCCAUGGGCAGGUGGAUGGUGCUAAAUUUGAUCAAUCAACCAAUCCAAGGAGUACUCUGGCAUAAACAUGCAGACAAAACUUCAGGGAAGGUUCAUCCAGCGAGAGAUUCAGUUUCAAACAGUGGAAUAUCUAGCAUGAAAAAGCACAGAUCGCAUCAGGAGAGUUCCCUAGACCAAGCCUCUAUGCGAUGGUGAUUACUCUAUGGAGAAAUUUCUCUUUAUGAGGAUUGUCUUCGGACCUUUUGAUGUUACUAUCUUUCGCACGUGAAGUUGGAUUUAGGCACAAUAAAAAUAAAUUUAUCUUAUUUAGGUGCAUCAAGUAAUUUACAGUAAGCUUUGUAAAGACUGCAAAAUGGAUAGGUUGUUCCAUGGACCUGCUCUGGAAAGAGAUUGUCAUGCAAUUAAGCUUGGGAUUGGUUUUAUUGAUUCCGAUGCAUCACUCACUUUACUUUGCAUUUCCUUCAAAGUUAACUCUCAUGUUGAUUGGAGGAACCUAUGUUGUGUUACUUACUCCAGCUUGCAAAUGAUAUCAUGUAAUCCACUUGAUGCAGCCUAUCAAAUAUUAUCUGUCCUCUGAAAACCAUUAGAUCAAGUUACCAUUGCCGAAAAUUCAUAUGAAAGGAGGCAACUUUUGCUUCACUAUUGAAGGAGCUUCAGCAUUCAGAGAAGUUUUAUGAUGGUACUCAAAGACAGAGCGCCAGCUGCUGAACUAGCUUCAGUGAGGAUGUGGACACUGGAAAUCUAACCGUUACUACGGACAAUGAAAAGUUACCUGAUCUCAUGAAGUCUAAAGGUUGGUUUUAGUGUGAUUUCACUACCUUCAGCAUUCUUUGAAUGUUAGUGUUAGCUUUCUCACAAUAUAAGUUUUCUCAGCUGACAUUGUGGAAGAUCAUCAGACUCAGCCUCUCAUUUCAAUGAGUCUCACAAUACGGAGGGCAUUGCAAUAUGCAAUUGGCAACUCAUGGGUAUUUCAUAGUUACUUGUCCUCCUCUGUUUACAGUAAUCAAUUCUUUGAGCUCUAUUUUGACCCGUCUAUGGCAAGGUUGUGACUCUAAGCAUCUUGAAAUUCCAUUAGAACUUAAUGAGUUUUGAUGUUUGUCGAAACUUUUUGGUCCGAACUACCAGACAAGCUGAAUUAAAAUUAGCAGCAGAUAGCAACUGCUUGUAGGGAAUUAUCAGACUAGAUGCAUGAGGACCUGCUGAAUUCUCAAUUUCACUGAGCUUUGUAUGACUAGCUUGUACAUCUGCUGCAAUUAACGUUUGCAGCCUUCUUAUGAACAAGCUGACCCCAAAUGCUGCAGCAGCAAUCUUGUUUCUGAAGCAUCUCUUUCACGCAGUUUUCACGGCAAUGCUAAUGAUGAAAGUAUAACCCUGAAGGAGAUAGGGAUCCACUGAAAGUGAAGGCUGAGUGUCCUAGUUUUGAUCUUGGAUUUUGAACCAUGUCCAUUGCUUAAUCAACUAUAUUGCUACUCUCAAGAGUCUGGAUGGAGUGCGCAAGAGUCUCAUGCCUAUCACACAUGAAAUCUGUACGGUUGAGCUAUUGUUUUUAUGUUGAGUGUUCUAGUGCCGAGUUCAUUUGCAGCUCUCUGAUCUGAAACGUUUUUAGUUAAAUAACAUAAUCAAUGUAUUUCCAGUGAUCUUCUACAUAUUGAGGUACGCUUAUGAUGCAAAGAAACUGAGAUAUGGGUC